rnacentral:rRNA from 1 species
GACGAACGCUGGCGGCGUGCUUAACACAUGCAAGUCGAACGGAAAGGCCCUGCUUUUGUGGGGUGCUCGAGUGGCGAACGGGUGAGUAACACGUGAGUAACCUGCCCUUGACUUUGGGAUAACUUCAGGAAACUGGGGCUAAUACCGGAUAGGAGCUCCUGCUGCAUGGUGGGGGUUGGAAAGUUUCGGCGGUUGGGGAUGGACUCGCGGCUUAUCAGCUUGUUGGUGGGGUAGUGGCUUACCAAGGCUUUGACGGGUAGCCGGCCUGAGAGGGUGACCGGCCACAAUGGGACUGAGAUACGGCCCAGACUCGUACGGGAGGCAGCAGUGGGGAAUAUGGCACAAUGGGAGGAAGCCUGAUGCAGCAACGCCGCGUGCGGGAUGACGGCCUUCGGGUUGUAAACCGCUUUCGCCUGUGACGAAGCGUGAGUGACGGUAAUGGGUAAAGAAGCACCGGCUAACUACGUG